rnacentral:rRNA from 1 species
GACGAACGCUGGCGGCGUGCUUAACACAUGCAAGUCGAACGGUGAACUCCGCUUGCGGGGGGAUCAGUGGCGAACGGGUGAGUAACACGUGGGCAACCUGCCCUCCGCUCUGGGAUAACUCCAAGCAAUUGGGGCUAAUACCGGAUAUGAACGCUGACCGCAUGGUUUGGUGGUGGUAAGAUUUAUCGGCUGGGGAUGGGCCCGCGGCCUAUCAGCUUGUUGGUGGGGUAGUGGCCUACCAAGGCGACGACGGGUAGCCGGCCUGAGAGGGUGACCGGCCACACUGGGACUGAGACACGGCCCAGACUCCUACGGGAGGCAGCAGUGGGGAAUAUUGCGCAAUGGGCGAAGGCCUGACGCAGCGACGCCGCGUGGGGGAUGACGGCCUUCGGGUUGUAAACCUCUUUCAGCAGGGACGAAGCGAAAGUGACGGUACCUGCAGAAGAAGCACCGGCCAACUACGUG